AUGACAAGGGAACCCCCACUACUGGUCCCAAGUGGGUGGCAGCAGGGUCUGCCUCCCUCCCGUCCUGCUCGGAAAGCCGCGCCUUGUUGGGGUCAGCAAAGGCCUUACUCAGCCAGGGCAGCCCGUGGCUCCAGAGUUUUUAACCCAGAUUUGGCACCUGUGACUGUCAUCAAAGGCACUCUCAGCUCCUUUUCAGUUUUCUGGAACCGGCUCACCAGAAAACAGCACGGCGAGGGGGUGGGGCAUGGGGAACCUGCGGCUGUGUUGGUUCUGCAUGAGUCUGCCCUGCCUUUUUGUUCAUUGGCUUUGAGCAGCUCCCAUUCACCUGUCGACGUCAUAGACCACGGGCACAGGAGAUGCAGCUCUCACCAAAACAGACCCAGUCAGCUCUCCUGGUGGAGUUUCCUCCUGCCACGGGGGUGCAGAUCCAAGGGAGCUCACAGACAUGCAAAGAAGGAGAUGCAGAGAGGUGGGCAGAAUGGAGAAGAUGAAGGAGAGAAACAGAUGGACUUGAGUGUGGCAAGAUGGAGAAGGAUCACUGUGAAGACAGGAAGGCUGGGAGCCGCAGUGCGAAGCCGGAGCUGAGCGCCGAGAAUCCCACAAGGAAGCUGGGAAGGCGCUGGGCCCAGCCAGGAGAAUUCUCGGGUGGUGCACUUGGCCGUGCAAGCCAGCCUCGCAGGUGCCUGCCAGAAUGGCAUCAGCGUGGUGGGCCCUCACCUUCACAGCAAAUGCCCCAGCCCUGCCCUCCAGUCUCGCCGAGUCGUCAUCAGGUCUGCACGAAGGUUUCCUGCUUGCCCUUCCUUCUCCUGCUCUGGGUCUCAUUGUCCCCGCCAGUGAAAGCAAAUGGUCAGUGGUCAUGCUAAGGGACGAGGCUUUGUUACGUGAUACAGAAACAGGGCCUUGAGCAGACGGGGGUUGGGGGGUGGUGAGAGGGAGCAAGCGCUCAGCUCCGUGAGAAAGCGGGUGGGCGUGUGUUCCACUUGUGGUCAAUUCAAGAGGGCCUGGGAGAUGUGGCCCUGAUUGCAGGGACAUCCUAGGGGCCCUUCUCGCUCCAGAUGUGUCUCCUUCAGUCCCACAGGCUGCCUGGUAGCUGUCCUGGAGGCGUCCCUCCUCCAAUUCUGCCACCUAGGACGACAGUGGUCUAUGCGGUGUACUGAGCUGCUCCAAAGCAGGGGUCAGACCUUCCAGGCCCUGCUGCAAAGCUGUCAAGGUGCCUCCCUGCUCGCAGGAUGAAGUCCCGGCUCCUGACUGUCUGCUCCUCGCCAGGCCCCUCCAGCUGCCUGAGGGUCCAGCCAAAGCUAACACAGCUGUCCUACCUGCAAACCUUGCUCGCUCUUUGCCGUCCCCCUGCCCACUGCUGCCUUGCACAACCCCAGGAGACUUCUUAUCAGCAAAGGCAGUGUGGCCAGCACCCGCUGGAGCUCCUCCGUGUACAACCUAUCCAACUAUACAUGGCCUGUGGGGUCAGGCACCCCACACAGCCACUCCCCUCCGUCCACAGAGGCUUUUCUCAACAGCAGCACGAGUGACAUUUAGUUCAGACCAUUCUUUGCUGCGGGGAAUUGUCCUGUGUUCAGCGGCAUCCCAGACACCCUCCCCUGUCCACUGUCAUCCUCCAGACAUUGUCAAGGGUCCCACGGGAGGCAGAAUCACCUGCAGUUGAGAGCUACUGCCACAAGUCCUACCCAGCUUUGAAGCGUCACUCCCACAGCUACCUACCCCACAAAGCUGCGGGUGCACCUGCUCACCAGGAGACUCCAGAACUGCACCUGCUGAUGUUCCACUGAGAUACGGAGUUCUUCCUCCAUCAACACUACUAUACACACACACACACACACACACACACACAAGUUCUUCAGAAAGUUCAUGACAAAUGAAAAUGAAAGACAAGUGUAUUUGGAUGCCGAACUUUGAAAUCUGUGCCACUGUCGUGACACCACGGGUUAAACUACUUCCUGGACAUCAGCAUCCCAUAUGGGUGCCAGUUCUAGUCCCAGCUGAUCCACUUCCAAUGCAGCUCCCUGCUAAUGUACCUGGGAAAGCAGCAGAGGAUGGCCCAAGUGCUUGGACUUCUGCACCUACAUGGGAGACCUGGAGGAAGCUCCUGGCUCCUGGCUUUGGCUUGGCCUAGUCCAGGCUGGGCAGUGAAUCAGCAGAUGGAAGAUCUCUCCCUCUCUCUUUCUGCAACUCUGCCAAAAAUAAAUAAAUAAACCUUAGAAAAAGAAAUCCUUGC
rnacentral:lncRNA from 1 species